UAGGGAAUCUUCCACAAUGGACGCAAGUCUGAUGGAGCAACGCCGCGUGAGUGAAGAAGGGUUUCGGCUCGUAAAGCUCUGUUGUUAAAGAAGAACGUGGGUAAGAGUAACUGUUUACCCAGUGACGGUAUUUAACCAGAAAGCCACGGCUAACUACGUGCAN
rnacentral:rRNA from 1 species